CCUACGGGUGGCAGCAGUGGGGAAUAUUGGGCAAUGGGCGCAAGCCUGACCCAGCAACGCCGCGUGAAGGAAGAAGGCUUUCGGGUUGUAAACUUCCUUUCUCAGGGACGAAGCAAGUGACGGUACCUGAGGAAUAAGCCACGGCUAACUACGUGCCAGCAGCCGCGGUAAUACGUAGGUGGCAAGCGUUAUCCGGAUUUACUGGGUGUAAAGGGCGUGUAGGCGGGACUGCAAGUCAGAUGUGAAAACCACGGGCUCAACCUGUGGCCUGCAUUUGAAACUGUAGUUCUUGAGUACUGGAGAGGCAGACGGAAUUCCUGGUGUAGCGGUGAAAUGCGUAGAUAUUAGGAGGAACACCAGUGGCGAAGGCGGUCUGCUGGACAGCAACUGACGCUGAGGCGCGAAAGCGUGGGGAGCAAACAGGAUUAGAUACCCUGGUGUC
rnacentral:rRNA from 1 species